GGCGUAGUGUAAUGGAUAACACAUCAGUCCGGUCUACUGGAGAUGCUGGUUCGCACCCAGCCGCCGAAU
rnacentral:tRNA from 1 species